UUUUAGGUAACAAAACGACAGGUCGUUUGGCCACUGCUUGCCAAACCGACAUGUCGGUUAUGGUGGAAUAUAAACGACAUGUCGUUUUAAUCCUGCUGCACUUCUGGAGACUAAGCGUCACGUCGUUUUAUCUCUAAUUUAAAAACGACAUGUCGGCUGACGUCUUCUUCAACCUCUGGAGCGCGUGAGAGCGCGUGAAUGAUGACAGAGGCGCGUGGUUAACUGGCCGUGGCUUCGGGUGGCGCGUGGGACUGUGUUUAAAUGCGAAAUAUUUACAGUUUCCUCACUGAAAACUGAGAAAGUUGAUGGUGUUCUUGGUUUUUGAGGAACACACUCUCGGAAAAUUAAUGGGAUUGUUGAUAAAUUUGUAAACUCAAGUUUUUUACGUAUGGGUGGCUUGUUUCUUGAUCGGCAUGGAUAUCUGUAAUGGUAGGAAUGGGUUUAAGAAAGAAAAUGGUGGGAAAAAUGGUUGUGGGAGGAAUUUGGUUUCCUCUGUUUUUGUUACAAACAGAGCAGCGGAACUUGAAGAAACUUGAGCGUAUUCAAAGGCUCUGAUACCAUGAAGAAACGUGUUUUCAUUUCUUAAAUAAAGCAUUAUACAUUGAGAGUUAUUUAUAGAUGCAGAGGCUACAUUUUUUCAAAGAUUACAUAUGUGAAUACGGAAGGAAAUGUAUCAAUCCGUUCGGCGCGGAUCUUGUCUUUGACAAGUGCAGAUUACCCCUUUGACAAGUGCAGAUUCUGUCUUUGAAAGUUUCAUUCAAUGCCAUUUUAUUUGAUUCUCAACACUUAUGAUAUGUUUUUUUUUGUGAAGUUACUAAAAAACUAUUCGUAAUUUUUCGUUGUAUUUUUUUGUCUUAUUUUCAUAAAUUUUCAUCAAAAAGUAAAAAAAAAAAAGAAUCUACCAAAACCUACUAUAAUGAUGGGAAAAAAAUCCAUUAUUUUAGGUAGUCUUGAAAUGAAAAAAUUAUAAUUCCCAAUUUAAUUUUUUAUUAAAAAAUUUCCUAAUUAAUUUUAAAGAAAGAAACUUAAAUAAUGAUGAAAUUUUAGUAGAAAAGCAAUUGUAUUAUCUUAAUUAACAAACAAUGUGUUCCCUAUUGAUAUUAUUGAUUAUAAUUUGCAUAAUUCAGCUUUGCUGACAAGUUAUUUCGAAUUAUAUAGUUAAUUAGUGAGCCACGAUUCUCCCACAUAAAACAUCAACCGCUGAUCAGUUAGGUAUAUCUACCAUGCAUUGUUUUGCUUUCGAUACCUUUUGAAAAAAAAAAAAUAUUUCGGAAGAUUAUUAGGGCACGUGUCAGUUGCCACUAAUUUGUCUAGUAAUGAACUGAUUAGACCAUCGAGUCAAAAAGCAUUGUUUGUCCUAUUAUCGAGUCACUGACAUUAUUGAAUCAUCAUCUACAAUAAUUGGGUGCUACCACUUGUGAUUCACUCAAUCUUAACUUGAGUCUUGAGCCGUUGAUCUGGCCGUUCAUGCCGAACAUGCAUUUGUUUGUUUUGCUGCGUCGCAAUCAGCCAUGCACGUUGCUUAUUUGAUCUACGGUUUAGAACCACCCACGUAAUCUAAUUUUACUUACUGAUUUGUUUUGCUACGUCAGAAUCACCUACGUUGGCACCAUCGGCUACUUAAAUCUAUAUACACAGCCACUAGGCUUUAGUCUAGUGGUUAAAAUCUAAAUCUUACAAUUGUGAGGUUAUAGGUUCGAACCCCACAAUGCAUUGUGAAAAUUUAAUUUCCUUCCUCAAUUUGAAUGAAGACAGUCUUCUUUCUUUUCGAAAUGUGAGUGAAGUAGACGUUCCUCAAAUAUUAGAGAUGAUAAAAAUCUAGGCGAUUCUUCAUAAAAAUUAAUGUAAACUAGUUCCAGUAACAGUCUAAUUUAUAAACAUUAGUUGCAAUAUCUUAUAGUAUGAGUUAUACUCUUGAACAAUAGUCUCAUAUAAUUUUUAAAAAAAAAUCUAUGUACACACCGGUGUCAGAUCAAACCAGUAGAAAAAAGUAUUCACUCAAGCUCAAACUAUACAUCUACUUUUGAUUACGAAGUUAGCAGAGAUCUUUUCUGAUUAAUUUUGAAUAAUAUGGAAACUCCUUGCUAGGCAGGUUAAUUUUUAGGCCAUGCACGUUCAGUUAAAUAUAAUUUAUAAUUCUUAUUUAACAUGUGCCUUUUUGAAUAAUUAAUUAAGUUCGUUAAUAUGAUUUUUUAGCCAAUAACGAUUGGUCGGAGGGAGUAGCCCUUGCCAGCCCAGCAUUGUUGAUUAUGAGAUAGCAACUCAUGAUGUUGAUUUUCUUGCUGUCCUUGAGUACGUGAGGAAUCCUUACCACACUGAUUAAAUACAGUACUGUUACUCUUGUUGAAUCAAACAAAAUUUUAACGGCAAAGUUUGAUUCAACAAGAAUUUUUUUUCAAAAAAAAUUUGUAACUUAGAUGUAAUUUUUUAUAUAUUUUUUUAUUUAAAAAAUUAAAAAUAAUUGAGUAGGGGCAAAAAUAUAUUUUGCAACUAAUUUUAGGGAUAGAAACGUCAUUUUAUAUCUAUUAUAGGGGGUAGAAAUAUCAUUUUAUAAUUAAUUUUAAGGGCAAAAAUGUUAUUUUGUAAUUAAUUUACUGUUCCCGUUAACUUUAAUGGUGAAGUUAACGGAUUUUCACCUACUUGAGUAUUUUUAAAAAAUGUGUAACCUUUUUGAAAUUUGUCAAAAAAUGUGUCACCUAGGGGUAAUUAACCUUUUUUUAUUCCAAAAAUUAUCUCAAGUGACAUUCAUAAAUUGGUUGGUGAGCAUAAUUGGAUCUUGUCAAUGAAUGACAUAUCAUUUAGGAUGGAAUUUGGGAUAAAAAAAAUUUUGAGGAUGUCUAUCAUUACUCUAGUAAGAUGAGACAUUUUAGCAAAUGUCCUAGCAGUUGCCUAAGGAGUAGAGUUUCUAAAACCCCUUUUAAACUCUUAAGAAACCCCACUUUUCAUUUUUUCUAAUCUCUUUCAUUUAUGAAAUUACAAAAAAGGACAUAAAAUUAUCUUAAAUUUUAAUUGGAUUUCCCUAUCAUUUAGAAUAAAUUUUGUAGACAUAUUUUCGUAAUAAAAUUGCUGUUAAUAAAUAAUUUAUUUCUCCAUUAUUUUGAUUUUAUCAACAAAAUUAAUUAUAUCAUAUAAUAGGAUUAACAAAUAGUUAAGAUUCAUGAUUUGUAAAGAUAUUUCGGCAUAAUCAAAUUCAUAUUUGUCGUUUUAGUAACUCUUAGUAACAAUAGAACUAUUAUUACAAAAAUGGGGUGAUACAAGGAUAUUAAAAGUGUGGGAAAAGCAUUAACCUUGCCCAAAUUGUUCUAGGGUUGAAUCGGAGUGUCUAUAUUGCCACUUACUAGAGAGAGGGAAAUAAAAUUUCAGAAGACCACCAUGCUAUUGGUAGUUCUGGGGACAUUUUGCAAAAGAAAUUCUAGAAGAAAUUUAAUGUUCUAUGAGGUGGUUUGAGAGAUGAAUUAAGGUGAUUCAGGAGGUGAAUUGAUUGGAGAGCUCAGUGGUGCUCACAAGAGUUAAUUUUGAGAGUUGACAUGAUUAGGAGGAGCUUAAAAGAGCUCAUGGGAUAGUUUUGUUGAGCUUAAAGAUAACUCUAGAAAGCUUAUCUAUGGAGCUCAAUAGAGCUCAUUGGAUAACUCACGUGAACUCAUAUAUGAAAUAUGAUCUGGACAUUAAAACCAUCGUAAUAAGGACAAAAUAAGUAUAAACAAUAAAGAACACACAAACUUUUACGUUGUUUGGCCUUUUGGCCUAUGUCUACAUGAGUAAUCAUCUCCAAUUUACUAUGUAUGUGAAGUAUUACAUGAUUUACUUUACAAUAUCAACAAAACCUAAUUAAAAAUUAUUUAUGCUGAACAAUAACAUGAAGAAGACAUGGGUUUUAUGGAGAUUAAAAAGUUUUUUAGGAGAAAAAUAAGGGAAAAGUUUCUUUGAAAGAUGAAAUGGCAAAAUUUUUCCAUGGAGGUCUAAAAAAUAGAGGAAGAAAAAGAAGAUGAAGUAGCCUCUCAAGCAAGAAAUCAGAUCUGGAAAUAAUCCCUUUUGUCUAUUGUCUUGAGCUAAAUUUAUAGGAUAGAUGACCUAGGGACAUUUUCGCUUUUUCUACCGCAUGGAGAUUUUCUAUCUGUGUUGCCUUCUUCAAGUGGGGCCACUUUCUUCAUUUUCUUUUGUUCACUUGAUAGUGACCAAAUAAGCUUGAUGAGCUAGUAAUUCCUUUAUUUCUCAUGUGAUCCUUACUCCUUGCCAUGUGGCAGAAGCUGGUGCAUUGGUCUAGUAGUGUGCACUAUUCACGUACUGGCUCUAACCAUCAAAAUUUGUGUUUUGAUAUAUCCCUUGAUAUUGGGCAUAUUGAUCAAAACUUUCAUUUUCCUUAAAAGCUUAUCUUUUAACCUUUGAGAGUUUAUUGGCUCACGUUAGCACCCAAAAUUCUCUUCAAACAGAAAGUAUUAGUUUCCUUUAAAAGAGAUAAUAUUUUAUCAUCAUAUCAUCAUUUAUAAGACGUUGUCAUCAAAGGUUAAUUAAUUAAUCAUCAUUUUGGCAUUCUGGCCACAUUUGAUCGGUAUCCAAUGCUACUGGCGUCGACAGUCAAUAAUUUGUUGGCAAUAUUUGUAAGACAAAUUAUUUUAAUCUUAAUUACCACCAGUCGCAAACGAUAGCUGUAUUUGUAAAAGUUUUGUAUCUUUGCUUCAUUAUCAUUUGGCAGGUUGAGGACCACCUCCAAUAACCAGCUUUUUUUUUUUUAAUGGUUCAAUAAUUGAAACAUAUAAAAAUGAGAACAUAUCAUGCAUCCAGAAAGUAUGGAUAGAAUCGAUAUAUCAGUGUUAGUAGAAAAACUUCAGCCAGGCAUCAAAUGAUAAAUUCAGCUAGCAUUUUCAGAUGUGCCUUAGUAUUUUCAAAUUCUUGUUUAAUUGUUAUAUUUUGAGUUAAGUAUUCACUUAAUUCUUAUAUUUUGAGAAAUAUCUCAAGAUACUUUUACUAUUAAAUAUGUAUCAUUCUUGACCUAUUUUUUUAAUACUUUUACAAUAAUACCCUUGCAACAAUCGUCUUAGUGAUAUUAAUGGUAAGAAAAUAGGUCAAUUUGCCAUAUUACACUAAAAUUAAAUAAAAAU
rnacentral:lncRNA from 1 species